AGUGAACGCUGGCGGUAGGCCUAACACAUGCAAGUCGAACAGCAGCACAGUAAGAGCUUGCUCUUACGGGUGGCGAGUGGCGGACGGGUGAGGAAUACAUCGGAAUCUACUUUUUCGUGGGGGAUAACGUAGGGAAACUUACGCUAAUACCGCAUACGACCUACGGGUGAAAGCAGGGGAUCUUCGGACCUUGCGCGAUUGAAUGAGCCGAUGUCGGAUUAGCUAGUUGGCGGGGUAAAGGCCCACCAAGGCGACGAUCCGUAGCUGGUCUGAGAGGAUGAUCAGCCACACUGGAGCUGAGACACGGUCCAGACUCCUACGGGAGGCAGCAGUGGGGAAUAUUGGACAAUGGGCGCAAGCCUGAUCCAGCCAUACCGCGUGGGUGAAGAAGGCCUUCGGGUUGUAAAGCCCUUUUGUUGGGAAAGAAAAGCAGCAGGUUAAUACCCCGCUGUUCUGACGGUACCCAAAGAAUAAGCACCGGCUAACUUCGUG
rnacentral:rRNA from 1 species